rnacentral:rRNA from 1 species
GUCGNNCGGAAUAUUUCAGGUAGCAAUAUUUGAAAUGUUCAGUGGCGAACGGGUGCGUAACACGUGGAUAACAUUCCGGGAAGCGGGGGAUAGCCCAGGGAAACUUGGAUUAAUACCGCAUGUGGUCGAAAGACUAAAGGUGGGGACCGCAAGGCCUGCCACUUCCCGAUUGGUCCGCGGCCUAUCAGCUUGUUGGUGAGGUAAUGGCUCACCAAGGCUACGACGGGUAGCUGGUCUUAGAGGACGACCAGCCACACUGGAACUGAGACACGGUCCAGACACCUACGGGUGGCAGCAGUCGAGAAUCUUUCACAAUGGGGGCAACCCUGAUGGAGCGACGCCGCGUGGAGGAUAAGGUCUUCGGAUUGUAAACUCCUGUCAUGCGAGAACAAGGUAGCUUAGUUAAUAACCUUGCUGCUUGAUGGUACCGCAAGAGGAAGAGACGGCUAACUCUGUGCCAGCAGCCGCGGUAAUACAGAGGUCUCAAGCGUUGUUCGGAAUCACUGGGCGUAAAGGGUGCGUAGGCUGCGCCGUAAGUCAGAUGUGAAAGCUCAGGGCUCAACCCUGAAGUUGCAUCCGAUACUGCGGUGCUAGAGAAAUGAAGGGGAGUCUAGAAUUUUCGGUGUAGCAGUGAAAUGCGUAGAUAUCGAAAGGAAUACCAAAGGCGAAGGCAGGACUCUGGGCAUUUUCUGACGCUCAUGCACGAAGGCUAGGGUAGCGAACGGGAUUAGAUACCCCGGUAGUCCUAGCAGUAAACGGUGCACGUUUGGUGUGGGCGCAUUCGACCGCGUCCGCGCCGGANCUAACGCGUUAAACGUGCCGCCUGGGAAGUACGGUCGCAAGAUUAAAACUCAAANAAAUUGACGGGGACCCGCAC